GCUUACACAUGCAAGUCGAGGGGCAUCACGAAUUAGCAAUAGUUUGGUGGCGACCGGCGCACGGGUGCGUAACACGUAUACAACCUACCUUCAAUUGGGGAAUAACCUGGAGAAAUUUGGACUAAUACCCCAUAGUAAACGGAAGAGGCAUCUUUUUUGUUUUAAAGAUUUAUUGAUUGGAGAUGGGUAUGCGUAGGAUUAGCUAGUUGGUAAGGUAACGGCUUACCAAGGCGACGAUCCUUAGGGGUUCUGAGAGGAAGGUCCCCCACACUGGUACUGAGACACGGACCAGACUCCUACGGGAGGCAGCAGUGAGGAAUAUUGGUCAAUGGUCGAGAGACUGAACCAGCCAAGUCGCGUGAAGGAAGACGGCUCUAUGAGUUGUAAACUUCUUUUGUACAGGAGUAAAGUGAGACACGCGUGUUUUAUUGCAAGUACUGUACGAAUAAGCAUCGGCUAACUCCGUGCCAGCAGCCGCGGUAAUACGGAGGAUGCAAGCGUUAUCCGGAUUUAUUGGGUUUAAAGGGUGCGUAGGCGGUAUUACAAGUCAGGGGUGAAAUCUUGGUGCUUAACAUUAAAAUUGCCUUUGAAACUGUGGUACUUGAGUGUAAAAGAGGUAGGCGGAAUGUGUUGUGUAGCGGUGAAAUGCAUAGAUAUAACACAGAACCCCGAUUGCGAAGGCAGCUUACUAUCAUACAACUGACGCUGAUGCACGAAAGCGUGGGGAUCAAACAGGAUUAGAUACCCUGGUAGUCCACGCAGUAAACGAUGAUUACUAGCUGUUAGCGAUAUAUUGUUAGUGGCUAAGCGAAAGCGAUGAGUAAUCCACCUGGGGAGUACGUUCGCAAGAAUGAAACUCAAAGGAAUUGACGGGGGCCCGCACAAGCGGAGGAACAUGUGGUUUAAUUCGAUGAUACGCGAGGAACCUUACCC
rnacentral:rRNA from 1 species